rnacentral:Y_RNA from 1 species
GGCUGGUCCGAAGGUAUUGAGUUAUCUCAAUUGAUUGUUCACAGUCAGUACAGAUUGAACUCCUUGUUCUACUCUUUCCCCCUUCUCACUACCGCACUUGACUAGUCCAAA